rnacentral:rRNA from 1 species
UACGUAGGGUGCAAGCGUUGUCCGGAAUUAUUGGGCGUAAAGAGCUCGUAGGCGGCUUGUCACGUCGGUUGUGAAAGCCCGGGGCUUAACCCCGGGUCUGCAGUCGAUACGGGCAGGCUAGAGUGUGGUAGGGGAGAUCGGAAUUCCUGGUGUAGCGGUGAAAUGCGCAGAUAUCAGGAGGAACACCGGUGGCGAAGGCGGGUCUCUGGGCCGAUACUGACGCUGAGGAGCGAAAGCGUGGGGAGCGAACAGG